GAUGAACGCUGGCGGCGUGCUUAACACAUGCAAGUCGAACGAUGAAGCCCAGCCUGCUGGGCGGAUUAGUGGCGAACGGGUGAGUAACACGUGAGUAACCUGCCCUUGACUCUGGGAUAAGCCCGGGAAACUGGGUCUAAUACCGGAUAGGAGCGCCUGUCGCAUGACGGGUGCUGGAAAGAUUUUUCGGUCAUGGAUGGACUCGCGGCCUAUCAGCUUGUUGGUGAGGUAACGGCUCACCAAGGCGACGACGGGUAGCCGGCCUGAGAGGGUGACCGGCCACACUGGGACUGAGACACGGCCCAGACUCCUACGGGAGGCAGCAGUGGGGAAUAUUGCACAAUGGGCGGAAGCCUGAUGCAGCGACGCCGCGUGAGGGAUGACGGCCUUCGGGUUGUAAACCUCUUUCAGUAGGGA
rnacentral:rRNA from 1 species